AAUAUUGCGCAAUGGAGGAAACUCUGACGCAGCGACGCCGCGUGAGCGAUGAAGGUCUUCGGAUCGUAGAGCUCUGUCCUUGGGGAAGAAGAUCGAAAGAUUUGACGGUACCCGAGGAGGAAGCCCCGGCUAACUACGUGCCAGCAGCCGCGGUAAUACGUAGGGGGCAAGCGUUGUCCGGAAUUACUGGGCGUAAAGAGCCCGCAGGCGGCUCGUCAAGUUUCAGGUGAAAUCUCCCGGCUCAACUGGGAGGGUGCCUGGAAAACUGGCGAGCUUGAGGCAGGGAGAGGGAUGUGGAAUUCCCGGUGUAGUGGUGAAAUGCGUAGAUAUCGGGAGGAACACCAGUGGCGAAGGCGGCAUCCUGGCCCUGUCCUGACGCUCAGGGGCGAAAGCGUGGGUAGCAAAC
rnacentral:rRNA from 1 species